UGCCUGAGCUGGCAUCCUCUUCCUCCUGUCGGCGGGAGGUGUGGAUCACCUACUGCGUGCGGGGAACAAACGCCGCCCCAGUACCGGUCCCUGCAGCGGAGUAGCCUUCACCUGCAAGGUGAACGCCUGCUCACCACGUAAUCCCCAAACGCAGAUAUCACGUUGUCUCUGCAACUUUCCCUGACAACCACCCAAUGCAAUUAAUUAUCCCACAAUAGUAUCUCCCGCAGGCUCUCUGUAGAACCAUAGAAUUCAUCCAUCAAAAUACAAUCAUUUGUUGAUCCGUCUCUCUCUGCCGCCCCCAAAUGUGAAUUCCUUGAGUCAGAGACUAUUCUACUCAGCAAAACAUUUGUGAGUGGAAUUAAAUUGAAAUAAACCGUUAUAGUCCACUCACAGAUGGAAAACACAUAGUAAAAUCCUAGAAUUCCAUUUCUCCCCUGAAAAUUUCCCAGACAGUCAGAGGGAGUUUCAUUCUUUCCUGUUUACUUUUCUCCCAAAUAGGCCUUCUGAGGCAGCAGAAUAGGGAAGGAAGUCAGAAGACUGACCAGCUCAUACCUAUGGAAUGCCUAUCAUACAUACACUUAAAAUUAUGGCAAGCUCACGCAGGCGCACUAAGAGAGAAAAAACAAGAAAACAGAUAUGACAAUUAUAGGAAAUCCCCUCCCUAGAGUUAAAGAAGUGUAGGAAGUGGGUAUAAAAGAACAAAGGCUAUAUUAAUCCAGGGCUGACACCACUUGAAGAUAAGCCCGUUCCUCUCUCUGGUAUAUUCUUUGCUUAAUAAAUCUUGUGGGGUGGUUAUUUGUGUGUCUCAUCCAAUUCUUUGUUCAUAACACCAAGAACCUGGAACUCCCAACUUCCAAUCUGGUAACAUAUUUUGGUGAGCCAGCCAGGAGGGUCAAGCCUGCAAUACCUAAAGCUCCAGACCUGGAACCCAAAGCUCCCAUCAGUCGCUACCCUGUGAACCUGUGGAGGAUCUGAAGUACCUGUUUAAAAGGCAUCCAAAAGAUAGAAUCUAUCAAGCUACAAAUGGCUAUGUUGCCUGAAGCCCCAGACAUCAUCCUACAAGAAAUAAGUCCAGACUUCUUAAUUUCCCCCUGGAUAGAGCAGGAUUCGAUUCAGUUGGAAAGACAUGGUUAAUGCUUAAGAGAGCCAGAAGAACCCAAAUCUUUGAACACACUUAGAGCAACCACAAACUGCUGUUAGAAAACUAAUGUUAAUGUUUAAGAAGUACUUGUUAUUUUA
rnacentral:lncRNA from 1 species